UGGAAGCUUAUCUGAGCAGAAGGCCCAUCUGAAACCUUGGAGGUUUGCCCAACCCUGGUUUCCUGUCUAACCGAAAGCAGAGAGGCCCAGACGCGGAGCCAAAAGGUUCACACUUUGUGUGAUCGGCAACCUAAAUUUGUGGAUUGGACCAGAAAGGCCAAGUGCAGCCGGCAGCCGGGGCCCUACAGGCAGAGACGCCACUCCAGUUGGUGCAACAGUACGAGGAAGAACUGACAGAAAGCGUUAGAAACGAAGUAACAAUGCAGCAAGGCAAACGGACUUCCUAACUGGCAGAGAAGGGGCGACGGAGCCCCCGGGAUUGUUUGUAUCAAUUCUUCUGCUAUCCUUGGCACCCAGAAAGGAUCCUUUGCGAUCUGUGCUGGGAGCUAGCGUGCCCUGAGCGCCUGCCACAUAGGGGAUACUACAGCGAGCACCUUACACGUAUCAUUGUAACAAUGAGUGAUCAUAGCAGACGUGGCGGAAAAGGCCGAUGUGCAGCUUCAGGAUUUCCAUGAGGGUGGCAUUCGGGCACAGUCUUUGCUAACAAGGAGCCACCUCUGUGUUUAGAGUUGCUCCAUCUCUGGCUUUUUUUAAAUCCCAGUACAAGGUCAGCUUGAGUCAAGAUGCCUCCUUGCUGCUGAGCUGUGGCCGUGACCACAGGGACAAGCCCAUCAGCCGCCCUAGGAAGCAGAACCCCUGAUGCCUCCGAGGCCCUCCAGCAGGUGUGUUCAUGGACUUUCUAACCCAGAGAUCCGAUGUAUCUGAACUGUCGUAUGAAUAAGCAGGACACGAGAGAGAGACAGAGCACGAGCAGGAAGAGCAACA